UUAAAAAUAAGUUAUAUUAAACUAUGGGUUUGUGGAACCUAAAAAAUAAAAAAAAAUUUUUUGAG
rnacentral:tRNA from 2 species